AAGAGUUGGUGUUGCGGUUGCGGAUUAGGCUUGACCUAAUCUGAGGAAAGUCCGGGCUCCUGAAAGGUCAGGCUUGCUGGGUAACUCCCAGUGCGGGUGACCGUGAGGAUAGUGCCACAGAAACAUACCGCCGAUGGGUCAGGGGCAUGCCCCGCCACAGGUAAGGGUGCAAAGGUGCGGUAAGAGCGCACCAGCAGUAUCGAGAGGUACUGGCUCGGUAAACCCCGGCCAGGAGCAAGGUCGCAGGGGUCAUGGUUGACCUUUUUCCAGCCCCGCUUUUGGUGUACCGCUAGAGGCAGCUGGUAACAGUUGUCCCAGAUAGAUAACCGCCCGUUGAUGGUGACAUCAGCGAGAACAGAACCCGGCUUACGGCCAACUCUUUCCA
rnacentral:RNase_P_RNA from 1 species